UCUUCUGAGAAUCCAUGUUCUGAAAAGAGA
rnacentral:piRNA from 2 species